ACUCCCUACGGGAGGCAGCAGUGGGGAAUAUUGCACAAUGGGGGAAACCCUGAUGCAGCCAUGCCGCGUGUGUGAAGAAGGCCUUCGGUUGUAAAGCACUUCUAGUAGGGAGGAAGGUAGUGUAGUUAACACCUGCACCUAUUUGUACGUUACCUACAGAAGAAGCACCGGCUAACUCCGUGCCAGCAGCCGCGGUAAUACGGAGGGUGCGAGCGUUAAUCGGAAUUACUGGGCGUAAAAGCGCAUGCAGGCGGCCUGUUAAGUCAGAUGUGAAAGCCCGGGGCGUUAACCUCGGAAAUUGCAUUUGAAACUGGCAGGCUAGAGUCUUGUAGAGGGGGGUAGAAUUUCAGGUGUAGCGGUGAAAUGCGUAGAGAUCUGAAGGAAUACCAGUGG
rnacentral:rRNA from 1 species